GAUGAACGCUGGCGGCGUGCCUAAUACAUGCAAGUCGAGCGAACAGACGAGGAGCUUGCUCCUCUGACGUUAGCGGCGGACGGGUGAGUAACACGUGGAUAACCUACCUAUAAGACUGGGAUAACUUCGGGAAACCGGAGCUAAUACCGGAUAAUAUAUUUAACCGCAUGGUUCAAUAGUGAAAGACGGUUUUGCUGUCACUUAUAGAUGGAUCCGCGCCGCAUUAGCUAGUUGGUAAGGUAACGGCUUACCAAGGCAACGAUGCGUAGCCGACCUGAGAGGGUGAUCGGCCACACUGGAACUGAGACACGGUCCAGACUCCUACGGGAGGCAGCAGUAGGGAAUCUUCCGCAAUGGGCGAAAGCCUGACGGAGCAACGCCGCGUGAGGGAUGAAGGUCUUCGGAUCGUAAAACUCUGUUAUUAGGGAAGAACAAAUGUGUAAGUAACUAUGCACGUCUUGACGGUACCUAAUCAGAAAGCCACGGCUAACUACGUG
rnacentral:rRNA from 1 species